AACGAACGCUGGCGGCGCGCCUAACACAUGCAAGUCGAACGAGAAGCUGUAGCAAUACAGUUGUACAGUGGCGAACGGGUGAGGAAUACAUGGGUGACCCACCCUCGAGUGGGGAAUAACCAGCCGAAAGGUUAGCUAAUACCGCGUACGCUCCUUGGACUUCGGUUCAGGGAGGAAAGCGAUACCGCGGGUAUCGCGCUCUUGGAUGGGCUCAUGUCCUAUCAGCUGUUGGUGAGGUAACGGCUCACCAAGGCUUCGACGGGUAGCUGGUCUGAGAGGACGAUCAGCCACACUGGCACUGCGACACGGGCCAGACUCCUACGGGAGGCAGCAGUAAGGAAUAUUGCGCAAUGGGCGAAAGCCUGACGCAGCGACGCCGCGGUGGGGGA
rnacentral:rRNA from 1 species